GGCAGAGCAGCCUCAGCCCAUCCACACAAGGCGGGGAAGUCACAUUAGCGUGAGGACAGUAGAGUCUGGACCCAUAUCUAAUCCAGGAUUUUGACUAAUUCCUCAUCACAUUGCUGUAGAACAGAGGUGACUUGUCCCUGAUCACGUGCAAAGCUGAAGACAGAGCUGGGAAUGGGACUCAGGUGUCCAGCACGCCCAGUGCACUGUUAGUGAUGAAACUCCGCAGCAUAAUGUUUUGAUGAGGCUGUGAUCUUGGAAAGAUACAAAAAGACAUGGGCUGUUUCAGGCAGAUCACGAGGAAAUCC